AACGAACGCUGGCGGCAUGCCUAACACAUGCAAGUCGAACGAGACCUUCGGGUCUAGUGGCGCCCGGGUGCGUAACGCGUGGGAACCUGCCCUUAGGUUCGGCAUAACUCCCCGAAAGGGGUGCUAAUAACGGAUAAUGUCUUCGGACCAAAGAUUUAUCGCCUUUGGAUGGGCCCGCGUUGGAUUAGCUAGUUGGUAGGGUAAAAGCCUACCAAGGCGACGAUCCAUAGCUGGUCUGAGAGGAUGAUCAGCCACACUGGGACUGAGACACGGCCCAGACUCCUACGGGAGGCAGCAGUGGGGAAUAUUGGACAAUGGGCGAAAGCCUGAGCCAGCAAUGCCGCGUGAGUGAUGAAGGCCUUAGGGUUGUAAAGCUCUUUUACCCGGGAUGAUAAUGACAGUACCGGGAGAAUAAGCUCCGGCUAACUCCGUG
rnacentral:rRNA from 1 species